ACUCAACCAAUACCACCAGUUACUUAUUCUACUGAAACAACUACCAUGACUACUCCAUUGACUACUGUAUUAGUCAAUGAUAAGGGGAAUAUUGGAGUGAUAGUUGGUCCAACUGUAGCUCUUACUGUAUUAUUAGUACUGGCUAUAAUUAUAAUUAUUAUACUGGUACUGGUUAUGCACAGAAAAAAGACUGAUAUUAAUCAAAAAAGAAAAUCAGAUAAUGACAUUGUAAUGGAAUGCAGUCCAGCUUAUGCCACAACUGAAUUUAAAACAAA
rnacentral:lncRNA from 1 species